GGACCCGCACAAGCGGUGGAUGAUGUGGAUUAAUUCGAUGCAACGCGAAAAACCUUACCUACCCUUGACAUGGAAGGAAUCCCGAAGAGAUUUGGGAGUGCCCGAAAGGGAACCUUCACACAGGUGCUGCAUGGCUGUCGUCAGCUCGUGUCGUGAGAUGUUGGGUUAAGUCCCGCAACGAGCGCAACCCUUGUCAUUAGUUGCUACGCAAGAGCACUCUAAUGAGACUGCCGGUGACAAACCGGAGGAAGGUGGGAUGACGUCAAGUCCUCAUGGCCCUUAUGGGUAGGGCUUCACACGUCAUACAAUGGUACAUACAGAGGGCCGCCAACCCGCGAGGGGGAG
rnacentral:rRNA from 1 species